GGCUGGUCUGAGUUCUGUGGUGUUUACAACUAAUUACAACUGAUCACAACCAGUUACAGAUUCCUUUGUUCCAUCUCCACUCCCACUGCUUCACUUGACCAGCCUUUA
rnacentral:Y_RNA from 1 species